UACGAGGGGGGCUAGCGUUGCUCGGAAUUACUGGGCGUAAAGGGAGCGUAGGCGGAUAGGUUAGUCAGAGGUGAAAGCCCAGGGCUCAACCUUGGAAUUGCCUUUGAUACUGGCUAUCUUGAGUACGGAAGAGGUAUGUGGAACUCCGAGUGUAGAGGUGAAAUUCGUAGAUAUUCGGAAGAACACCAGUGGCGAAGGCGACAUACUGGUCCGUUACUGACGCUGAGGCUCGAAAGCGUGGGGAGCAAACAGG
rnacentral:rRNA from 1 species